rnacentral:rRNA from 1 species
CUCCUGGAAACGGGUGGUAAUGCCGGAUGCUCCGACUCCUCGCAUGGGGUGUCGGGAAAGAUUUCAUCGGUAUGGGAUGGGGUCGCGUCCUAUCAGGUAGUCGGCGGGGUAACGGCCCACCGAGCCUACGACGGGUAGCCGGCCUGAGAGGGCGACCGGCCACAUUGGGACUGAGAUGCGGCCCAGACUCCUACGGGAGGCAGCAGUGGGGAAUAUUGCACAAUGGGCGCAAGCCUGAUGCAGCGACGCCGCGUGCGGGAUGACGGCCUUCGGGUUGUAAACCGCUUUUGAUCGGGAGCAAGCCUUCGGGUGAGUGUACCUUUCGAAUAAGCACCGGCUAACUACGUGCCAGCAGCCGCGGUAAUACGUAGGGUGCAAGCGUUAUCCGGAAUUAUUGGGCGUAAAGGGCUCGUAGGCGGUUCGUCGCGUCCGGUGUGAAAGUCCAUCGCUUAACGGUGGAUCUGCGCCGGGUACGGGCGGGCUGGAGUGCGGUAGGGGAGACUGGAAUUCCCGGUGUAACGGUGGAAUGUGUAGAUAUCGGGAAGAACACC